UUGACACUUCCUCUACUGGUUUCACUGGGUCAGAGAUACACUUUGCAAUGAACAGGCAGGAGGUUUUCCUCCCUUUUGAAGAGGAAGUCUGGGAAAAAGAAGCCCUGCCUUCUCCAGGCCCCCGGGAAGCACAUGUUUAUCACCAGCAUUGGGAUGUCCUUCCCCAGCAGUACCUGAGGAGUCUGUGCAGAAGCUGCAGCAGCACCAGGAUGGAACACGCUGGAGAGGCAUGGCUUGCUUCUCUUCCCACAGCUCCAGACGACAAAAAUAAAUGGUGACAAUUCUCCUGUUGUUUUAUUCCAUGAUAAUUUUCUUCUCCCUCCUUUUUCUGCCCCACUGAGAGACGUUUUGGCAGUUUGCAAACAUCACCCUGUUCACAUUCACUGAAUGUUACUACAGCUAUUUCUUUCAUGUGACAGCUUGAAAAAGGGAUGUGAAAGCUUUCCUUCUUGUCUUCCUGGCCUUUCCCUCUAUCAUCUGACCCUCAUGAAUGCUCUCCAGCAAACAGUUUGCCUUUCUUGCGUGGUAGAAUCUGGAAAUAAUUGCCUGCCACAGCACUUACUUCUAUCAGUGAAUAAGCUCGAGUAAUUGCGCCGUGGUCUUUGCUCCACAG
rnacentral:lncRNA from 1 species